GGAAAGGCGUUCCAGGUUGAUCUUCACCGAUCAUGCCACCCAACCUGACGGAAAUUUCUGCUCUUCUUCUCGGAAGCGACUGAAGAGACGGAGUUGAAAACAAACAUCAAACCCCUUGGAUAGAUUUACGUGUGGGAGACUGUGUGUAUGUACUCCAUGUGUAGAUUUUUCUUUUUUUUUGGCCUUCUAUUGUUUCCCCCUAGGAGGAGGAAAUAAUCUUAUGAAAGAGAACAGAAGGAAAUGGCUUCACAUGAACCUGUCCCAGUACUUACUUGUGUGUGUGAGUAUUUUCGGCUCACUAGCACAGAGAAAUUAAAUGGAGAUUCUUGAUAUUCUUUUUAUUAAACUGUCUGGCAAGUCCCUUGCUUCCCUAACCCUCAUUUUCUACUCUACCAAUCAGAGAUAACAUACAUGCUUACUUUGCUGUGAUAUACUGAGGCUCAAUAACUUCAUGUUUUUAGAUAGUCAAAGGACUAGCUUGGAAAUCCUUAUAUAAAAGAAGAAAAUGCCAUAACACAAAAUACAGUAAUGAAUUCUAGACAACUUUUGGGGGCAUAUCAUCCAGUGAUACUUUCAGGCAUGUUAUUUUGUCCAGAAAUCAUUCAUGUUCCUUUUUGCAUUGGAGUUUGAUAUUUGUUCUUAAGAAUUUGCUAUUGUUUUUAAUAAAAAUUAUCUGCAGUUGUGAA